UGCGUAGGUGACAAGCGUUGUCCGGAUUUACUGGGCGUAAAGAGCGCGCAGGCGGUCGAUCAAGUCGAGUGUGAAAGCCCCCGGCUCAACUGGGGAGGGUCAUUCGAUACUGAUCGACUCGAAGGCAGGAGAGGGUAGUGGAAUUCCCGGUGUAGUGGUGAAAUGCGUAGAUAUCGGGAGGAACACCAGUGGCGAAGGCGACUACCUGGCCUGUUCUUGACGCUGAGGCGCGAAAGCUAGGGGAGCAAACGGG
rnacentral:rRNA from 1 species